rnacentral:rRNA from 1 species
CCUANGGGUGGCUGCAGUCGAGAAUAUUCGGCAAUGGGGGAAACCCUGACCGAGCGACGCCGCGUGCGGGAAGAAGGUCUUAGGAUUGUAAACCGCUUUUUUGGGAGAUGAAUCCGCAAGGAUGACAGUAUCCCAAGAAUAAGGGGGUGCUAACUCUGUGCCAGCAGCAGCGGUAAUACAGAGCCCCCAAGCGUUAUCCGGAUUUAUUGGGCGUAAAGAGUCUGUAGGCGGUUAGGUUAGUCUAAUGUCAAAGCUCCUGGGCUUAACCUGGGAAAUGCGUUAGAUACUGCUUAACUUGAGGGCAUUAGGGGCUGAUAGAACGGUCGGUGUAGGGGUGAAAUCCGUUGAUAGCGACCGGAAUACCAAAAGCGAAGGCAUUCAGCUGGGGUGACCCUGACGCUGAGAGACGAAAGCGUGGGCAUAAAAAAGGAUUAGAUACCCUANUAGUC